UAAUACGUAGGUGGCGAGCGUUAUUCGGAUUUACUGGGCGUAAAGGGUCCGUAGGGGGAAACAUAAGUUUGAUGUGAAAUUUCGAGGCUCAACCUCGAACCUGCAUUGAAAACUGUGUAUCUAGAAUUCGGUAGAGGUAAGUGGAAUUUGUGGUGUAGCGGUGGAAUGCGUAGAUAUCACAAGGAACAUCAAAGGCGAAAGCAGCUUACUGGGCCGAUAUUGACCCUGAGGGUCGAAAGCUAAGGUAGCGAAAAGGAUUAGAUACCCUUGUAGUCUUAGCCGUAAACGUUGUACACUCGAUGUCGGGGGAAUUAGCCCCUUCGGUGUCUAAGCUAACGCGAUAAGUGUACCGCCUGGGAAGUACGGUCGCAAGACUA
rnacentral:rRNA from 1 species